UAUAAUUGGAUUAGAGUGAUUGGAUUUCACUGUUGACGGGUUGACGAGAGGGACGGGACCAAAGGGUUUGAAACUUUGAGAGUUGAGGGACUUUUUUUUUUUUUUUUUUUUUUUAAAUUUUCCAGCCUAUCUUCUUGCUGUUUGCCGUUGCCAUUGUCUUCGCCGUCAAAGUUCUUGCCAUCGAUAUUUAUUUGAUAUAACUUUCUCACACUGAUAUAACGUUCUGGAGGAAAAGUGCACCCCGGCUCAAGUCUCGCAAGUGUACAACACCAAAUAUAUAAUAGUUGUCCUCAACAAACUCCAUGCAUAGCAAAAGCAUACAUUUGACGAAAGUUACAUAGGACAUGUUGCGAAGUUGUUGAAGCCCAAACUAUUUAGACAAUUAAUUCACGAAGUGGUUAACAGAUUUGUCGAAAAAGAUCCAAAGCUUGGUUCAAAGUGAACCAAUGGUUUGCACAAUUCGUACUGCCGGAGUUUGCAUUAAUCACCGGGUUGAAGUGUGGUGAAGUACCGAAAGGUGAGGAUUUUAGCAACAUCCUUGGAAAAAUCCGACUAUGGGACAAAUUGUAUUCCCGUAGAGACCGGGUAACAUGUAGCUACCUCGAGAAUGUUUUCCUAAAAUGUGCCAAGUGUAACGAUCAUUACAAACUUAGGUUGGCGCUAAUUAUUAAAGGGAUUUUCAAUUGUAGAGAUUGAAACAUGGGGAUACAUCCUGAAACUCUCUUCAUCAUGGAUGACUUGGAUUUCUUCAAUGCCUACCCGUGGGGACAGUAUGCUUCAAACUUCUUAUCAAAUCACUUCUUCGGGGAUGGGGGAGAAAGGAAGACUUGGCAAAGGUCCACGCUGUGAUCGGAUGUCUUACACGUACAAUUUCUCUCUUGCUGUUGAGGUACACUUGUUCAGUAUUCAUUUCAUUUUUUCUCGUCCUACGUUGUUAUGUGCCUCUGUAUAUAGUAACCACUGUUAUGUUUUUCAUGAAAUUGUCGGUGCAUGAGAUAAUCCCAGAGUUGGGAGCUCGAUUUAUGCCAAAGAAGGGUGACGAUGUUCCGAGGAUAUUGUGGUGGAUUGUUACAAGACAACCUCAGUCUCGAACAUAUUCGGGCUUCUUCGAGAAGACACAUGUGACCAUUUUCCAUAUAAAAUCACUCUUACAAUUUUGGAAUGGCUAAUAAUUAUUUUUGUCAUUUUUAUACUCCCCUUGUAGGUGCACUUGUGAGCGAUGCUACUGCUACUGCUGCGGAAGAAUUGCAGCAAUUUUUGCUGGUUUUGUUACUUUACAAGACACAUCAGACCCCAUUCUGGACAGCCUCAUUACUUAGUCAAUAGACAUACAGGAUUGUCCACCUGAAGGUGAAGCUAUGCACAAUGUGAACAAUAAUGAAGGACAAAAAUCUCGGAGAGGCAACACAGGUGGACUUCGUCUUUGAGAUUUGCAUCCCGCUGAAGGUGGAGAUAAAGACCAUGACGACCCAUUCAUCGGCUUGCCAUCUUCUACCUCAUGCCACCGUCCACCCGUGAGGCCCUUGUCUUUAGAGGAGAUAAGAUCAUUCUUGAAUGAACAAAGGGAGGAAUUUAAGGGUAUGUUGGGCAAGUUGAUGGAAGAAAUGAAUGUGAGAUUUGAUAGUUUGAAAAAUGAAAUGGGUGGUCAUGCGCACGGUUUGAGAAAGCAUGUGACUGAUGAGGUAAAUCUGAUUCAACGUAUGUUUGAUGAAGCAACUACUAACUUUGGGGGCCACAAUGUCACCGGCAAGUACGGUAAAUUUCAGGACUAUUGCGGUGGAGAUAUGCCCCACCACGAUGGUUAAGAUAACAAUUUGACUCCAAAUGUUUUAGUGGACACAUAACAUCAACCGAAGCAGUUGGUUGCCAGAUCGAUGAUGUGUUCAGAAUGUUGAUGGCUGGGGUUGGAGUCCAAGGGUCAGUACAUGCUGCUUGUGAUGGUGUAACUGAGGCACCAAACACUGUACCUACAGUUGCUGUCUCCAUCGAUGCUCCACCGAUUGACAAUGUCAUCGUUGUUGAACCCUCGAAGAUUGUUGAUCUCCCCUUAUGUAGACCUCGAUCGUUGAGGCUGAAGAUGCCUAGUGCGAACACUAAGACACCGUUCACACGAUUGGGCCGCAAGAGAGGUAAGAAGGUUGUGUAGACUAUAUUCAAGUAUCUUUGUUCACAGUCCGGAUUGGCUGUCCGACAUUUUGUCCAUGCGAACUUGUGUUUUAUAUAUUGGUGGCAUGUUCGGAAGGUUGCAUGCUUAAAAUAGUUUAUUGCUAUAAUAGUUCCUACUGUUGGCUUGCAAUAUGCACAAGUAAGAUAAAGACUAUUUCAUGUUGUAAGGAACAUCCUUUUUUUAAUUAUUUUUUUAUUUUUAUAGACUGCAUUUCAUUGUACUGACUUUGGUUGCUAUUUAAUGUCUUCGUAUAUUUGCUA